rnacentral:rRNA from 1 species
CGGGGAGGAAGGUGUUAAGAUUAAUACUCUUAGCAAUUGACGUUACCCGCAGAAGAAGCACCGGCUAACUCCGUGCCAGCAGCCGCGGUAAUACGGAGGGUGCAAGCGUUAAUCGGAAUUACUGGGCGUAAAGCGCACGCAGGCGGUCAAUUAAGUCAGAUGUGAAAGCCCCGAGCUUAACUUGGGAAUUGCAUCUGAAACUGGUUGGCUAGAGUCUUGUAGAGGGGGGUAGAAUUCCACGUGUAGCGGUGAAAUGCGUAGAGAUGUGGAGGAAUACCGGUGGCGAAGGCGGCCCCCUGGACAAAGACUGACGC